AUACCCCCUGUUUAUAGCCUCCACAUUGACUCUGUACCGGUACCCCCUGUAUAUAGCCUCCACAUUGACUCUGUACCCCCUGUAUAUAGCCUCCACAUUGACUCUGUACCGGUACCCCCUGUAUAUAGCCUCCACAUUGACUCUGUUCCGGUACCCCCUGUAUAUAGCCUCCACAUUGACUCUGUACCGGUACCCCCUGUAUAUAGCCCCGCUAUUGUUAUUCUCUGCUGGUCUUUAAUUAUUUGUUUUUCUUAAUGACAUUUUUUGGGUAUUUUCUUAAAACUGCAUUGUUGGUUAAGGGCUUGUAAGUAAGCAUUUCACUGUAAGGUUGGGGGUACCUGUUGUAUUCGGCGCCUGUGACAAAUACAAUUUGAUUUGAUUUGGUUCGAUUCCAGGCUGUAUCACAACCGGCCGUGAUUGGGAGUCCUAUAGGGCGGCGCACAAUUGGCCCAGCAUCGUCCGGGUUAGGGUUUGGCCAGGGUAGGCCGUCAUUGUAAAUACGAAUUUGUUCUUAACUGACUUGCCGAGUUAAACAAAAAAAUUGACAUUGGCAUAUCCACUUUAGCUAAUCAUGACUACCCCCUGUGCUUAACCAUUCUAAAAUGAUGAGGCUGAGGAGAGAAAUAAAAGAAUAAGGGUAAAGCAGUGUGAAACUUAAUUUAUAUCGAGAGAGUGAGAGUUCUUUAUUUAAGCAGCCCAGUGAUUAGCAUGGGUGUAGAUUGUGCAAAAUGUGACUGGGGGGAGGAACAGGUUCAUGAAGUGACUUGGUUUCUUAUUCACUGACUAGGUAUUGUAUGCCCUCAUGAAAAGACACUAAGACCAACACACUAGUUUUAGCUAGGUGGGUGGUGUGGUAAGGGGUGGGUGGUGUGGUAAGAGGUGGUGGUGGUAGUGUGGUAAGAGGUGGUGGGUGGGUGGUGUGGUAAGAGGUGGUGUGGGUGGGUGGUAUGGUAAGAGGUGGGGGUGGGUGGUGUGGUAAGAGGUGGUGGUGGUAGUGUGGUAAGAGGUGGUGUGGGUGGGUGGUAUGGUAAGAGGUGGGGGUGGGUGGAGUGGUAAGAGGUGGGGGUGGUAGUGUGGUAAGAGGUGUGGGUGGGUGGUAUGGUAAGAGGUGGGGGUGGGUGGUGUGGUAAGAGGUGGGGGUGGGUGGUGUGGUAAGAGGUGGUGGUGGUAGUGUGGUAAGAGGUGGUGUGGGUGGGUGGUAUGGUAAGAGGUGGGGGGGUGGGUGGAGUGGUAAGAGGUGGGGGUGGGUGGUGUGGUAAGAGGUGGUGGUGGUAGUGUGGUAAGAGGUGGUGUGGGUGGGUGGUAUGGUAAGAGGUGGGGGUGGGUGGAGUGGUAAGAGGUGUGGGUGGGUGGUAUGGUAAGAGGUGUGGGUGGGUGGUAUGGUAAGAGGUGGGGGUGGGUGGUGUGGUAAGAGGUGGGG
ensembl:lncRNA